CUACGGGAGGCUGCAGUGGGGAAUAUUGCACAAUGGACGAAAGUCUGAUGCAGCAACGCCGCGUGGAGGAUGACACAUUUCGGUGCGUAAACUCCUUUUAUAUAGGAAGAUAAUGACGGUACUAUAUGAAUAAGCACCGGCUAACUCCGUGCCAGCAGCCGCGGUAAUACGGAGGGUGCAAGCGUUACUCGGAAUCACUGGGCGUAAAGAGCGUGUAGGCGGGUUAAUAAGUUGGAAGUGAAAUCCUAUGGCUCAACCAUAGAACUGCUUCCAAAACUGUUAACCUAGAAUAUGGGAGAGGUAGAUGGAAUUUCUGGUGUAGGGGUAAAAUCCGUAGAGAUCAGAAGGAAUACCGAUUGCGAAGGCGAUCUACUGGAACAUUAUUGACGCUGAGACGCGAAAGCGUGGGGAGCAAACAGGAUUAGAUACCCCCGUAGUC
rnacentral:rRNA from 1 species